rnacentral:rRNA from 1 species
AGUGAACGCUGGCGGCGUGCCUAAUACAUGCAAGUCGAACGGAGAUUAAGUAGCUUGCUAUUUAAUCUUAGUGGCGCACGGGUGAGUAAUAUAUAGCUAACUUGCCUAUUACUAAGGGACAACAGUUGGAAACGACUGCUAAUACCUUAUACUCCGUAUCUAUAUAAGUAGAUACGGGAAAGUUUUUCGGUAAUGGAUAGGGCUAUAUCGUAUCAGCUAGUUGGUAAGGUAAUGGCUGACCAAGGCUAUGACGAGUAACUGGUCUGAGAGGAUGAUCAGUCACACUGGAACUGAGACACGGUCCAGACUCCUACGAGAGGGAGCAGUAGGGAAUAUUGCUCAAUGGGGGAAACCCUGAAGCAGCAACGCCGCGUGGAGGAUGACACUUUUCGGAGCGUAAACUCCUUUUCUUGGGAAAGAAUUAUGACGGUACCCAAGGAAUAAGCACCGGCUAACUCCGUG